rnacentral:rRNA from 1 species
GACGCUGGCGGUGCGCCUUAUGCAUGCAAGUCGAGCGAAGCUUUUUAGUAGUUUACUACAGAAAAUGACUGAGCGGCGAACGGGUGAGUAACGCGUGAGCAAUCUACCUUAGUUACAGGGAUAGCCCGAGGAAACUCGGAUUAAUACCUGAUAUUCUUUACAUUUCGCAUGAAAUCAAAAGGAAAGGUCAGCCGAACUAAGAUGAGCUCGCGUUCUAUCAGCUAGUUGGUGAGGUAAAAGCUCACCAAGGCAACGACGGAUAGCUGGUCUGAGAGGACGAUCAGCCACACUGGGACUGAGACACGGCCCAGACUCCUACGGGAGGCUGCAGCAGGGAAUAUUGCGCAAUGAGCGAAAGCUUGACGCAGCGACACCGCGUGUGGGAUGACGGAUCUAGGUUUGUAAACCACUUUCAGGAGGGAAGAAAAUGACGGUACCUCCACAAGAAGCCCCGGCCAACUACGUGCCAGCAGCCGCGGUAAUACGUAGGGGGCGAGCGUUGUCCGGAUUUAUUGGGCGUAAAGAGCUCGUAGGCGGUUCAACAAGUCGGUCGUAAAAGUUCAGGGCUCAACCCUGAAAUGUCGAUCGAUACUGUUGUGACUAGGAUACGGUAGAGGUGAGUGGAAUUCCGAGUGUAGCGGUGAAAUGCGUAGAUAUUCGGAGGAACACCAAUUGCGAAGGCAGCUCACUGGGCCGCUAUCGACGCUGAGGAGCGAAAGCUAGGGGAGCAAACAGGAUUAGAUACCCUGGUAGUCCUAGCUGUAAACGAUGGAUACUAGACGUAGGAAUUGGAUUGACGGUUUCUGUGUCGUAGCUAACGCGUUAAGUAUCCCGCCUGGGGAGUACGGUC